rnacentral:rRNA from 1 species
GACGAACGCUGGCGGCGUGCCUAAUACAUGCAAGUCGAACGCUUCUUUCCUCCCGAGUGCUUGCACUCAAUUGGAAAGCGGAGUGGCGGACGGGUGAGUAACACGUGGGUAACCUACCCAUCAGAGGGGGAUAACACUUGGAAACAGGUGCUAAUACCGCAUAACAGUUUAUGCCGCAUGGCAUAAGAGUGAAAGGCGCUUUCGGGUGUCGUUGAUGGAUGGACCCGCGGUGCAUUAGCUAGUUGGUGAGGUAACGGCUCACCAAGGCCACGAUGCAUAGCCGACCUGAGAGGGUGAUCGGCCACACGGGGACUGAGACACGGCCAAGACUCCUACGGGAGGCAGCAGUAGGGAAUCUUCGGCAAUGGACGAAAGUCUGACCGAGCAACGCCGCGUGAGUGAAGAAGGUUUUCGGAUCGUAAAACUCUGUUGUUAGAGAAGAACAAGGACGUUAGUAACUGAACGUCCCCUGACGGUAUCUAACCAGAAAGCCACGGCUAACUACGUG